rnacentral:misc_RNA from 1 species
GAACAAAGUUGCUUACGGGGGGAGCACCCACCGAUUCCGAUCCAUCUUCUUCCAUGGCUAUGGCGACCUCGAGUUCAACCUUCAUCGCUUCUUCUUACGCUUCUCCUUCUCUGUUUCCAUGCCGGUCUAGGUUCUUGGACUCGGAGUUCGUUGCUCAUGUCCCUCACCGCUGCUUUGGUGGUGCUGCUAGGCUCACUUUUUUGCGGAAAUGGAAUAUCCUGAGUGCUUCAACCAAUGGUUUGAAUGCAGUCAGUCCAACAUCAUUGACUUUUGAUCAAGAUAAUGUGCCAAUGCCCAUAGUUCUCAUAGAUCAAGAUUCAGACUCCAAUGCAACAAUAGUGGAAGUCAGUUUUGGCGAUCGUCUUGGAGCUCUUAUUGAUACGAUGAGAGCAUUAAAAGAUUUGGGUUUGGAUGUGGCGAAGGGAACUGUUAGCACAGAGGGACCAGUCAAGCGAACAAAAUUCUAUCUGACAAGAUUAGACUCAGGCCGCAAAGUAGAAGAUCCUGAUUUGUUGGAGAGUAUUCGUUUAACCAUCAUCAACAACCUUUUGAAGUAUCAUCCAGAAUCUAG